GGGACGGGCCUUUCAGGCAUCCUCUCCUAAUGACUUAAGGGCUGGUUCUCGCGAACCGGCCCCUUUUUUUGUCCGCU
rfam:Sphingomonas sp. Root710 contig_1, whole genome shotgun sequence.